GUAUAGGCUGCUUUCACAGUGCAGCUUUCACAUGAGAAAAUGUUUGUUUGCUGCUGAAUGAUAUUUUGCUUUUUCAAGGACCACUAAUCUUUCUUUCCCAGGGGACUGCAGGGUGUUUAUACAUCUCAUCUCAUAGCAGAAUCACAGUCAAGAUGAGGUUGGAAGAGACUUCUGUGUUCCUCUUGUCCAACUGCAGGUCAAGCAGGGGUACCCAGAAAAGGUUGAACAGGACCAUGUACAGGACCAUCUGUAGAGCAUCUCCAAGGAGUCAGACUCCAUAAAUACAAUUCCAGAUCUGUGAAUAACUGGUCACAUCUUCUACAAUUAGAAGAAGUAGCACAAAGGCAGCGAUCCUGCACGUUCCUCUGAGCCACGGAGAGCACAAAUCACACCGGGCCCAGCACUGCUCGCUCCUCAGGGCGGGCUCAGCACCGGAGCGGGUCUGGGAGGCUCCCGGUGGGCUGAGGGGCGCCUGGAAGCCGUUCAUGCAGCUGCUUCGGGCGCGUUCCGUGAGGAAGAAUCGAACGCUCCUCCCGAGAUGCCGGCAGCAACAACGACCGACCUACCGAGCCGGGCCAUGGCAGAGGCAGCGCGGCAGGGCCGCCUGGCGGACCCACUGCUUUUAAAGUGCCUGCCAGGAGGCCGGCGGGGCGGGACCAUGGAGAUGGCGGCUGAACGUUCUGGAGAGGAGGGGAGCGGCGAGGGGCGAGCCGAGCCGAGCCGAG
ensembl:lncRNA